UCCGCUGAGGAGGGGCCUGCGUUCCAUUAGCUGGUUGGUGAGGCAGCGGCUCACCAAGGCGACGAUGGAUAGCCGGCYUGAGAGGGUGGCCGGCCACACUGGGAUUGAGAUACGGCCCAGACUCCUACGGGAGGCAGCAGUCGAGAAUAGUCUACAAUGGUCGAAAGACUGAUAGUGCGACGCCGCGUGAACGAAGACUCCUUUCGGGGUGUAAAGUUCUUUUAUAUGUGAGCAGUGGAWGUUACAUUAAUAGUGUAAUGUCAGGGAUAUUAGCAUAUGAAUAAGCAACGGCUAACUCCGUGCCAGCAGCCGCGGUAACACGGGGGUUGCGAGCGUUGUCCGGAAUUACUAGGCGUAAAGGGCAGGUAGGCGGAGAUGUAAGUUUGAUGUUAAAGGUACUGGCUCACCCAGUGUACGGCAUCAGAUACUGCAUUUCUUGAAUACGGUUGGGGAAGACAGAAUUCCUGGUGUAGCGGUGGAAUGCGCAGAGAUCAGGAGGAAUACCGAAGGCGAAGGCAGUCUUCUAAGCCGGUUAUUGACGCU
rnacentral:rRNA from 1 species